rnacentral:rRNA from 1 species
GACGAACGCUGGCGGCGUGCCUAAUACAUGCAAGUCGCACGCGGCACCUUCGCUUUCUGAGUGUCGAACGGCUGCGGAACACUUGGUGACCUGUCCGUGAGUUGCGGACAACACCGCGAAAGCGUUGCUAAACUCGCAUACGCUCCGAAUAGGAAAUCCUAAAGGCGCUCCCGGGUUGCCCUGCUUCCCAUCAGGGUGUUGGUGUGGUAACGGCUUACCAAGUCAGUGAGGGGUCGCUGGGCUGUGAGGACGACCAGCCAGACUGGGACUGGGAGACGGCCCAGACUCCUACGGGAGGAAGCAGGAAGGAAUUUUCGGCAAUGGGAGCAAGCCUGACCGAGCAACGCCGCGUGCAGGAAGACGGCCUUCGGGUUGUAAACUGCUUUUGCUAGGGAUGAUAACAGACAGUACCUGGCGAAUCAGCCCCGGCUAACUCUGUG